AUUGAACGCGGCGGCAUGCUUUACACAUGCAAGUCGGACGGCAGCACAGAGAAGCUUGCUUCUUGGGUGGCGAGUGGCGAACGGGUGAGUAACAUAUCGGAACGUACCGAGCAGUGGGGGAUAACUAAUCGAGAGAUUAGCUAAUACCGCAUAUUUUCUGAGGAAGAAAGCAGGGGACCAUUCGGCCUUGCGCUGUUUGAGCGGCCGAUAUCUGAUUAGCUAGUUGGUGGGGUAAAGGCCUACCAAGGCGACGAUCAGUAGCGGGUCUGAGAGGAUGAUCCGCCACACUGGGACUGAGACACGGCCCAGACUCCUACGGGAGGCAGCAGUGGGGAAUUUUGGACAAUGGGCGCAAGCCUGAUCCAGCCAUGCCGCGUGUCUGAAGAAGGCCUUCGGGUUGUAAAGGACUUUUGUCAGGGAAGAAAAGGGCGGGGUUAAUACCCCUGUCUGA
rnacentral:rRNA from 1 species